rnacentral:rRNA from 1 species
CAGUCGAACGGGAUCCAGACUUCGGUCUGGUGAGAGUGGCGGACGGGUGAGUAACGCGUGGGAACCUGCCCAAUGGUCUGGGAUAACCGCGGGAAACUGCGGCUAAUACCGGAUAAGCCCGAGAGGGGAAAGAUUUAUCGCCGAUGGAGGGGCCCGCGUCAGAUUAGGUAGUUGGUGGGGUAAUGGCCUACCAAGCCUACGAUCUGUAGCUGGUCUGAGAGGAUGAUCAGCCACACUGGGACUGAGAUACGGCCCAGACUCCUACGGGAGGCAGCAGUGGGGAAUAUUGGACAAUGGGGGCAACCCUGAUCCAGCAAUGCCGCGUGAGUGAUGAAGGCCUUAGGGUUGUAAAGCUCUUUUGGCGGGGACGAUGAUGACGGUACCCGCAGAAUAAGCCCCGGCUAACUUCGUGCCAGCAGCCGCG